GCUGGAAUAGCUCAGUUGGUUAGAGCAUGUGGCUCUUAACUACAAGGUUGGAGGUUUAAACCAUUUUUUUAGCG
rnacentral:tRNA from 1 species